CAGACCUCUAAUCGGAAAAGACUACCCGCUGAGUUUAAGCAUAUCACUAAGCGGAGGAGAAGAAACUAACCAGGAUCCCAGA
rnacentral:rRNA from 1 species